UUGGCCAAGGACAGACAGUUACACCAAAAGCGAGGCCACCAGGCCGAGCACAGAGCAUUUUAGGCGGGGCCAGCAGGAGGAGAACACGGGCUGCGGAAGGAAGUGGUCAAGACUGAAAUGCCACGUCAGGCUGGAAACUCGAGGCAGAGCACGGGCCUCUACCGUCUCAGGAAUACGCCAGCCCCUCCAAGCCCACACUGCCUGGUG
rnacentral:lncRNA from 1 species